AAGAAAUUCAAUGAAGCGCGGGUAAACGGCAGGAGUAACUAUGACUCUCUUAAGGUAGCCAAAUGCCUCGUCAUCUAAUUAGUGAGGCGCAUGAAUGGAUGAACGAGAUUCCCACUGUCCCUACCUACUAUCCAGCGAAACCACAGCCAAGGGAACGGACUUGGCGGAAUCAGCGGGGAAAGAAGACUCUGUUGAGCUUGACUCUAGUCUGGCACGGUGAAGAGACGUGAGAGGUGUAGAAUAAGUGGGAGGCCCCCGGCGGGGGGGCGAGCCCUGAGGGGCUCUCGCUUCUGGCGCCAAGCGCCCGGCCGCACGCAAAAGAGCUCCUGAAGGAAGCGCUAAACAUGGAAAGGAACAACGGGUACCAGCCGCUGCAAAAUCAUGCCAAAAUGUAAAGACCAUCGAGACUAGGAAGAAACUGCAUCAACUAACG
rnacentral:lncRNA from 10 species